AUAAGUCCAUGAGAAAUGGGGAACAUUUUAUGGAUGAAUGCAUUGAAAUUUUUAUUUCUUUGUGUUGAUUUUUGUUUCUUUAGACGGUGGAAAUCAUUAUUAGUCUUUUUUUUUAACUUGAACAUGAUAUCAUGGAUGUUUUCUCGGUAAAUCUUAUAUGCAUGUAGUUCAAAUUUUUUUCCUCCAUAUUAUAUGCUUAUGUUAACAUUUGUAUGUAUCGACUCGUGAGGGAAUU
rnacentral:lncRNA from 1 species